AAAAAAAGUAGUCCCAACCAAGAAUCAAUCCCAAAAGGUCGGAGCGAGGCAAAAUUGGCUUUCAAACUAGGUUCUGGGUUCACACAAGACCUGAAUCAGGAACAAGGGCUAUUAGCUCAGGUGGUUAGAGCGCACCCCUGAUAAGGGUGAGGUCCCUGGUUCGAGUCCAGGAUGGCCCACCUGCACAGGUGGCCAAAACAAAGAAAAAAAGCUCCGAAUCAGCACCUUAUCUUACUUAUAUAGUAAGAGAGAAUGCUGGCUCUGAGUACAGAGUCCAGAGGAACCUUGAAAACUGCAUAGAGCUAGGUGAAAAAGCCAAAAAAGAAGACCGCCAGGUC
rnacentral:tRNA from 1 species